GUGAGUGUGUGUGGGUGUGGCUGUGAGUGUGGGUGUGUGAGAGUGUGUUGUGUGAGUGUGAGUGUGUGUGUGUGUGUGUGUCAUGUGUGAGUGUGGGGGUGUCAGUGUGUGAGUGUGAGUGUGUGUGUGAGUGUGUGUGUCAGUGCGUGUGUGAUGGUGUGACUGUGUGUGUGUGUGAGUGUGUGCCUGAAGGUGUGAGUGUGUGUGUGUGUCUCAGUGUGUGAUGGUGUGAGUGUGUCAGUGUGUGUGAGUGAGUGUGUGUUGUGUGAGUGUGAGUGUGAGUGUGGACUGAGGGUGUGUGUGUGAGUGUGACACUAAGAGUGUGUGAGUGUGUGUGUGUGUGUG
rnacentral:lncRNA from 1 species